GACGAACGCUGGCGGCGUGCUUAACACAUGCAAGUCGAACGGAAAGGCCCUGCUUUUGUGGGGUGCUCGAGUGGCGAACGGGUGAGUAACACGUGAGUAACCUGCCCUUGACUUUGGGAUAACUUCAGGAAACUGGGGCUAAUACCGGAUAGGAUCUCCUGCUGCAUGGUGGGGGUUGGAAAGUUUCGGCGGUUGGGUAUGGACUCGCGGCUUAUCAGUUUGUUGGUGGGGUAGUGGCCUACCAAGGCUUUGACGGGUAGCCGGCCUGUGAGGGUGACCGGCCACAUUGGGACUGAGAUACGGCACAGACUCCUACGGGAGGCAGCAGUGGGGAAUAUUGCACAAUGGGCGGAAGCCUGAUGAAGCAACGCCGCGUGCGGGAUGACGGCCUUCGGGUUGUAAACCGCUUUCGCCUGUGACGAAGCGUGAGUGACGGUAAUGGGUAAAGAAGCACCGGCUAACUACGUG
rnacentral:rRNA from 1 species